AAUGUGGUGUCUGAUUAAAGAAUUAUCUUGAUAGGAUAAAAAAAGCAACUUACUGUUGCCCCCAUUG
rnacentral:tRNA from 1 species